AGGAAAAGAAACUAACUAGGAUUCCCUUAGUAACGGCGAGUGAACCGGGAUGAGCUCAAAUUUAAAAUCUGGCGUCUUUCAGGCGUCCGAGUUGUAAUCUAUAGAGGCGUUUUCCGCGCCGGACCGCGUCCAAGUCUCUUGGAAUAGAGUAUCAAAGAGGGUGACAAUCCCGUACUUGACGCGACAACCGGUGCUCUGUGAUACGUUCUCAAUGAGUCGAGUUGUUUGGGAAUGCAGCUCUAAAUGGGUGGUAAAUUCCAUCUAAGGCUAAAUAUUGGCGAGAGACCGAUAGCGAACAAGUACCGUGAGGGAAAGAUGAAAAGCACUUUGGAAAGAGAGUUAAACAGCACGUGAAAUUGUUAAAAGGGAAACGAUUGAAGUCAGUCGUGUGAAAGGUAUUCAGCCGUCUCUGGCGGUGUAUUUGCCUUUCACGGGUCAACAUCAGUUUGAUCCGGUAGAAAAAGGCAGGAGGAAGGUGGCACCCUCGGGUGUGUUAUAGCCUCUUGUCAUAUGUGCCGGACCAGACUGAGGAACGCAGCUUGCCGCAAGGCCGGGGUUCGCCCACGUACAAGCUUAGGAUGUUGACAUAAUGGCUUUAAACGACCCGUCUUGAA
rnacentral:rRNA from 1 species